rnacentral:rRNA from 1 species
AGCGAACGCUGGCGGCAGGCCUAACACAUGCAAGUCGAACGAACUCUUCGGAGUUAGUGGCGGACGGGUGAGUAACACGUGGGAACGUGCCUUUUGGUUCGGAAUAACUCAGGGAAACUUGUGCUAAUACCGAAUGUGCCCUUCGGGGGAAAGAUUUAUCGCCAUUAGAGCGACCCGCGUCUGAUUAGCUAGUUGGUGAGGUAACGGCUCACCAAGGCGACGAUCAGUAGCUGGUCUGAGAGGAUGACCAGCCACACUGGGACUGGGACACGGCCCAGACUCCUACGGGAGGCAGCAGUGGGGAAUCUUGCGCAAUGGGCGAAAGCCUGACGCAGCCAUGCCGCGUGAAUGAUGAAGGUCUUAGGAUUGUAAAAUUCUUUCACCGGGGACAAUAAUGACGGUACCCGGAGAAGAAGCCCCGGCUAACUUCGUG